rnacentral:rRNA from 1 species
UCCUAGCUGUAAACGAUGGAUGCUAGGUCUGGGGGGUGUAGAUUCCCUCCGUGCCGCAGUUAACGCGUUAAGCAUCCCGCCUGGGGAGUACGGCCGCAAGGCUAAAACUCAAACGAAUUGACGGGGGCCCGCACAAGCAGCGGAGCGUGUGGUUUAAUUCGAUGCUACACGAAGAACCUUACCUGGGCUUGACAUACGGGUAGUAGUGAAGUGAAAGCGGAUCGAUCCUUCGGGGAGUCUGUACAGGUGCUGCAUGGCUGUCGUCAGCUCGUGCCGUGAGGUGUCGGGUUAAGUCCCGUAACGAGCGCAACCAAUUGCUCUUAGUUAUACGUGUCUAAGAGGACUGCCGGCGGUAAGCCGGAGGCAGGUGGGGAUGACGUCAAGUCAGCAUGGCCUUUAUGUCCAGGGCUACACACACGCUACAAUGGCCGGUACAAUGGGUAGCUAAACCGCGAGGUGGAGCCAAUCCUGUAAAGCCGGUCUCAGUUCGAAUUGCAGGCUGCAACUCGCCUGCAUGAAGUCGGAGUUGCUAGUAAUCGCAGGUCAGCAAUCCUGCGCUGAAUACGUUCCCGGGCAUUGUACACACCGCCCGUCACGUCAUGGAAGCUGGC